rnacentral:rRNA from 1 species
GAUGAACGCUGGCGGCGUGCCUAAUACAUGCAAGUCGUGCGGACCAAAGAGAGCUUGCUCUCUGAGGUCAGCGGCGGACGGGUGAGUAACACGUGGGUAACCUGCCUGUAAGACGGGGAUAACUUCGGGAAACCGAAGCUAAUACCGGAUGAUAAAGAGAAACGCCUGUUUCUUUUUUGAAAGUCGGCCUUGUGCUGACGCUUACAGAUGGGCCCGCGGCGCAUUAGCUAGUUGGUGAGGUAACGGCUCACCAAGGCGACGAUGCGUAGCCGAGCUGAGAGGGUGAUCGGCCACACUGGGACUGAGAGACGGCCCAGACUCCUACGGGAGGCAGCAGUGGGGAAUAUUGCACAAUGGGCGCAAGCCUGAUGCAGCCAUGCCGCGUGUAUGAAGAAGGCCUUCGGGUUGUAAAGUACUUUCAGCGGGGAGGAAGGCGAUGUGGUUAAUAACCGCGUCGAUUGACGUUACCCGCAGAAGAAGCACCGGCUAACUCCGUGCCAGCCGCCGCAGUAA